rnacentral:lncRNA from 1 species
GGUAAUGAAGAAAAACUGGAUAAGAACACAACCUCAUUUACGGAAAGUAAAAAUGGAAACCACAGAAGAAGCAAAUGUAUUACUUAAAUUUACAAAGAGAGAAAUUAAAACGAGAAAAAGCUGAUCCAAAGCAUGUCUUGUACGCAAGUUGAUCGGACAAUUAAUUCGGAAGCAAACAAUUAAAGCCUCAACAACUGCAGACUGUGCCUUCAUUUAGACAGAGAGUGUAAUUAUAACACAGCUUCAUCAAUCCCCUCCUCUUCAAUCAAAUCCUAUAACCAAAAAAAGCCUACUCUGUGACACAUUAAUGACUCGCAGUCUCGCUUAAAAGCACUUGCAUUUACAGCCUUUUCAGUUUCAACAAGUCGUUCUGUUCCAAAUUCACUUCAAUUCCACGUUACUAGUGUGUCUGUUGACAACAAAUUCAUGGCGUCAAUGUCAAUGUCCGUACAUGAUGAUUGUUCGUAUGAAAAGGAAAAUAACCGAUUAGUCGAAGUUACUUGCCGGAGUACACUCGCUUCUUACUUAAAUUUGUAACUCCAUUUUCUCUCUCUUCUUCUUCAUCACCGUUACCACCGCCGCCGCCGCAACCAAUCUUUAACCUAAACCUUCUAUAGAGCAAAAUUAUACCAUCUCUUCGGAUCU